rnacentral:rRNA from 1 species
CCCUUAGAUGUUCUGGGCCGCACGCGCGCUACACUGAUAAUGUCAACAAGCUUUACCUUGGCCGAUAGGUCUGGGCAAUCUUCGAACUAUUAUCGUGAUGGGGCUAGAUUAUUGCAACUAUUAAUCUUAAACGAGGAAUUCCUAGUAAGCGCGAGUCAUCAGCUCGCGUUGAUUACGUCCCUGUCCUUUGUACACACCGCCCGUCGCUCCUACCGAUUGGAUUGGCUGGUGAAGCGUUCGGAUUGUGGGUUCGGAGCGGUUCGCCGUUCUGGGCUUGCGAGAAGUUCGUUAAACCCUCCUAUCUAGAGGAAGGAGAAGUCGUAACA